CAGUAGCCGCGGUAAUACGUAGGGUGCGAGCGUUAAUCGGAAUUACUGGGCGUAAAGCGUGCGCAGGCGGUUGUGUAAGACAGGUGUGAAAUCCCCGGGCUUAACCUGGGAACUGCGCUUGUGACUGCACAGCUAGAGUACGGCAGAGGGGGGUGGAAUUCCACGUGUAGCAGUGAAAUGCGUAGAGAUGUGGAGGAACACCGAUGGCGAAGGCAGCCCCCUGGGCCAAUACUGACGCUCAUGCACGAAAGCGUGGGGAGCAAACAGGAUUAGAUACCCCCGUAGUCCCUGUCUCUUAUAC
rnacentral:rRNA from 1 species